rnacentral:lncRNA from 12 species
GAUGAGGGGAGGGAUCCCGGCCACGAGCUUUGGCUCCUGGAAGCACCACUCCCAACAGGCCUCAGUUAGGGCUGCACAUGCCAGCCUGGUUUGCUUUCUGCUUGAGGCCUGAGGCUCCCCCACCCACCAGAGGUCUGCUUGGGCUCAAGGGUCCAGACUACCUCCCUCAUCUCCCCCUCCCUUCCUUCCCUUCUCUGAUUCUCUCUCUCUCUUUUUAAAAAAGAUUUAUUUAUUUAUUUCAGAUAGAGAAUGAGAGAGAGUAUGAGCGGGGGACGGGGGCAGAGGGAAAAGCAGAUUUCCCACUGGGCAGGGAGCCCCAUGCAGGACUCGAUCUCCCGACUUUGGGAUCAUGACUGGAGCCAAAGGCAGAUGCUUCACCGUUGGAGCCACCCAGGUGCCUCAUGUUUCAAAAUUUUCACCAGGUAUUCCACCACAAUAUAAUUAUAGGGAGGAAGGAAAAAAAGAAAAGAAAAGAAAAACUUCCCUUACUCUCACGAACUUAGGCUCUGCCUUAGAAGAAAUCCUGGUUCCAUCAGACAGUGCUUCCACCAAGGAACCAAGGAAGCCUCCUGCUGCACUGGUAGCCACAAAUACCUGGUACAGAUGCAAACACCUGGACACUUUGAGCACUCUGCCUGUGGGCCAGCAGGUGAUAAAAGGAUCUGCUGACCUUGGCUGUCAUGAGAAGAUGGGGUUGCUGUUAUGAAGUGGGUUGGGAGGAGUUCUGGAAUGUAAGGCAUUCAGUGGGCCUCUCUCAGUGCUCUGUGCCCAGCGUUGAUGGCGCACAAUGGACUGCAGCCGGCCUGACCUUCAGAGAAAGUGAGUGGAGGAGGGACACCAUGCUGGAUUGCAAGAGCCUGCAAGUCCACUUGAGGGUCAGUCAAAACGCUUCUUGUCAAGGAGCCUCUGGGUUUCCUGAUGAGAUCAGCUUGAAACACACUUCCUUUUCAGAGGAUGAGUGAUGGAAUAAAGAGCCUAUUGUAGACCUGGACUGAAUGUCU